GCUGGGCGUGGUGGCUCACGUCUGUAAUCCAAGCUCUUUGGAGGCCAAGGCGGGUGGAUCACCUGAGGUUGGGAGUUCAAGACCAGCCUGACCAACAGGGUGAAACCCUGUCUUUA
ensembl:misc_RNA Metazoa_SRP Metazoan signal recognition particle RNA